CUUCUGAAACUCUGUUUAACUGUACUUCCCAGGAGCUUGUUCAGCAAUGUCAAUACAUUAUGGAAUCAAUGGGGAACAGGAAGAAGACAAGCAGGAAACUAGAUUUGAGACCACAACUCUUCUGUCCUCUGAAGCGCUUUCACUUGGAGAAGUUGCAUGAUGCAGUGGAAUUUUUCUUCUUUAUGUCUGUCUUGGCUAAAGCAAGACAGACGAGCUUGAAAAGGCUCGCCCUCCUCAAGGAACGCUAUCUGAUUCGUAAGCAUUCCUAGAGGUUAAGGCUGGUGACUAUCAAGAAAGCAAAUACUUCACGCAAGGACCUAAUGCCUGCCUCAGACCUAAUGUCUUAGGAGUCCUUGGAAAUUUUACGGGUUUUUCAUCUGAGCAGCUGAGGAAACUUUUGAAAAUGUACCUUCAGAUGACUCACACACAUUAAAUUUCUCAGAACCUUACCUGUGUUUUUAAAACAGCAUGAAAGGAAGCAUGCCAGUGGUACAAGGAAAAGAGGUGGAUGUUGGUGAUCUACCCUCUUACAUGGAAGGUAAGCAGACCUCAGCAAAUACCUCACCUCCUUCGCAGCAGGCCACGAGAAGUGUUAUUAGCAAUGCCAUGUGCCCAGUGAUACUAAUAUUAAUGGACAUUUGUUAGCCUUCUGAAACCUCUUUAGAUAUAAGUUUAGUCACUCGUAGCUAUUAGAGAUAUAUCUCUAAACAUGAAUAUAAACAGGUACCUUAAUAUUUAGAUGGUGUAUAAUUGACAAGAUAUAUGAAAGUUCUUCACCUACACUGAAAAGAGAUAAGCAAGAAAGUUUAACAGAAGGUUCUCACCUGACUUUCAAAGUUUUCUUAGUUUUAAUCUGUCAUCUAAUCAUUCCACUGUAUUUAUCAACAAUGUCCAGAAAGACAAGAGCUUG
rnacentral:lncRNA from 1 species